CCUACGGGAGGCAGCAGUGGGGAAUAUUGGGCAAUGGGCGCAAGCCUGACCCAGCAACGCCGCGUGAAGGAAGAAGGCUUUCGGGUUGUAAACUUCUUUUGUCAGGGACGAAGCAAGUGACGGUACCUGACGAAUAAGCCACGACUAACUACGUGCCAGCAGCCGCGGUAAUACGUAGGUGGCAAGCGUUAUCCGGAUUUACUGGGUGUAAAGGGCGUGUAGGCGGGGAAGCAAGUCAGAUGUGAAAACCACGGGCUCAACCUGUGGCCUGCAUUUGAAACUGUUUUUCUUGAGUGCUGGGGAGGCAAUCGGAAUUCCGUGUGUAGCGGUGAAAUGCGUAGAUAUACGGAGGAACACCAGUGGCGAAGGCGGAUUGCUGGACAGUAACUGACGCUGAGGCGCGAAAGCGUGGGGAGCAAACAGGAUUAGAUACCCGAGUAGUC
rnacentral:rRNA from 1 species